AACGAACGCUGGCGGCAGGCCUAACACAUGCAAGUCGAACGAAGUCUUCGGACUUAGUGGCGGACGGGUGAGUAACACGUGGGAACGUGCCUUUAGGUUCGGAAUAACUCAGGGAAACUUGUGCUAAUACCGAAUGUGCCCUUCGGGGGAAAGAUUUAUCGCCUUUAGAGCGGCCCGCGUCUGAUUAGCUAGUUGGUGAGGUAAAGGCUCACCAAGGCUACGAUCAGUAGCUGGUCUGAGAGGAUGACCAGCCACAUUGGGACUGAGACACGGCCCAAACUCCUACGGGAGGCAGCGGUGGGGAAUCGUGCGCAAUGGGCGAAAGCCUGACGCAGCCAUGCCGCGUGGAUGAUGAAGGUCUUAGGAUUGUAAAAUCCUUUCACCGGUGAAGAUAAUGACUGUAGCCGGAGAAGAAGCCCCGGCUAACUUCGUGCCAGCCGCCGCCGUAAUAC
rnacentral:rRNA from 1 species